rnacentral:lncRNA from 1 species
CAGCCGAUCUUUCACUCAAUCUUCAUACUACAAAUGUACACUCAUGUCUUUACGUAACAUUAAAUGCUAAUAAUCAGGUUUUCUCACAACAUGCAUCUCUGAGUUCACUGCCCCUGCCUUUCUCCAAUAGUUCUACCUCACGGGCCUAUGAUGGAUUCUAUGGCCCAACACUUUUUGAAAUGUCACAACCCACAUAUAAAGCCCGAUACCAUAUAUUAAAUUGGAUUUCUUGCAUGGCUGUAAAAUCACUUAUUACGGUUUAUCUAUCCAAAGAAAAAUAUGAAUUUACACUUUAAUUUCUUUGCACUUCUGAUAAAGCAGAACGACUUUUUUCAUGGAAACAGUGACACGUGUCACUAACUAUGAACGUAAACAAAUAAGGGAAAAGGAAAUGUUCUAUAAGAACAGGAUAUGCAAAAUGCACCACUCAUCUUUCCUUUUGAAAGGGGAGAAAAGAGUGUGACAGCAAAAGGAAUCUAAACCCCACCUCUGUAUUGCUCGCCACACUCCAACAAGAAAGACAACACGUUAUUCUCCAACAGAGAAGAUACACCCAAUAGAAGAUAAAGUGAUAAGCACAAGUUCUUAAAGAAGGCAUAGGUUUAUCAGGAUUAAAGGCUAGAAUGCUAACUUGAAAAAGUUUUUUUUUUUCAUUUUUUUUUUAAAGAGAUGAUUUAUUGAGUUCAAAUUAACUAAUACCUCAGCCAUUUGAUCAGUCAUGGCCCAGUAGAUAAUGAAGCCAAUAGUAUGUGCGACAAAAAGGAUGUUUGAGACGUGACCAAGCCAAAUAUGAUACUUGAUGCUGGACUCUGAGGUAAGCCCUACUAGAGGCAAAAGUGACGAUGCUCUUGUUACAGGGAAGAAGAGAAAUGCCCAGCAAAUGUUUCCGAUGUAUCCAAGUCUUAAUGAUACACUUCGGAAUUUAGCUUGCCAUCUGCCAAAGUACAAAAUAAUUGAUCAACAAUAAUCCUUAAGAACCGUAAAACUUGAGCUCAAGCAGCCAAACAAAGCCAGUUGAUUUAUAUAGAGACCAAAUUAUUUGAGAUUGCAACGAUCAGCAGAUUGAAAUCAAUGGUGUACAUAUUGUGAUGUAAACUGCUUUUGUUGUGAAUAUUGAAAACCAUAGUAAGGGAUUAAUUCAGAAAGAGAUAUGGAGGCAUCAGAAGGAUGCAAGCCUACUAAAGCCAUGUAAAGAGAUCAUUGUUUACAGAUGAAUUCAAGCUUAAAUAGAACAAACAAAUUAAAAGGGGUGUUCAUACAUACAUUUUCUCCCCAACUCCAUCCAUGUGCAGGUGACCAAAGCUGACAUACAAGUAGUUGGCGAGGGACCAGAUCAUGAGAGCAACAAACAUGGCCGAAAAAAUGAGAUCCAAUGCAGAAACGAUUCCAAGGGGAGCCAUGACGAGCACCGGACGUUUCAAGAAGGCAACAGCACCCGAGCUAUUAAAAAUCAACAACAGAGAUCAAAUUAAUUCUCUUCAUAAAUAGUACAACAAGACAACAGAUGAAAAAGGAAGUGCUGAAAGACGGUCUAAAGAAAAUCCAACCUUUUGGAGUUAGACGCUCUCGAUUUCUUCUGAAAGUGGAGAUAAGCGCAACCAAAAGCAGCAAUGAACAUCAUAGGGAAAGAAAAUAGCAAAAGAUUUGUCCCUGUUAAAAUGUCAUGAUGAUGAAGUCAUGAGAAGAAGGAAAGGGUGCAACGCAUGUAUGCAAAAAUCAAAAAGAAGAAGAAGAAUCAAACAGAAGCAGCAGCAGCAGCAGCAACAAACAACAACCUUGUGCUGCAUAAUAAGUUGAAUUGAGCUUGCUAUCUAGCUUGGGUCUCCAUGUAUUUUUGUAAAGUUUUGUUGGCAACAUAACCCAAAUCGUCAACCACCCAAGAAAAACCACAAGGAAGAUCAUCCGCAUCAUUGCGUGGCUGCUCAUCUUCUCGCCUUUAGUUCAAAGUCAGGAAAUGAACCCAGGCUGCUUUAACCGUAUGUGUGGUAAUAAAGAGUGAACUUUGAUGUUCUAUUUAUAUGCACUGGCCCUAGCAUAUCUCUUCCGAAAAGGAUUUAAAGAAAACUUGACAUAUAGCUUUCUGCGUAAUCAUAAUUAGAGUACCCAAAAUAACAGCAUGAAACAUGCUUACAUACACUUGCUAGUAUUGAGGAUGUACAUUUUGCACAUUGUUACUUCUUUGAUAUUUUUUUUGAAGGUUUACUUCUUUGAUAUAAUAACGUUGAUUUGGGAUUUCCACAAAGUCAACGCUUUCCCCUGCGAUUAUGACUCUUAUAAUAAGGAAGAGGCAGUACAUAAAUUUCAAAUUAAGCAGAAUAUGUUAUUUUGCCUGUAAUUAAAAUUCUUUUAGGCCUGAAAGUGAUGUUUAGAUUCAUUGAGGUAUAAAAUGAUAACCCAGAGAAUUUAAGCUCUGAUUUACCAGCAACCAAGCAGAUAUCUCGAUCUUAGGAGGAAUAUAUGAAUUAAUUAUAGGGAUCUGUGCUUUCAACGCAAGUACAGUUGACUUUAAUUUUUGGGUAUGCUAGUACUGAUUGUAGGAAGAACUACAAAAGACUUUACAUUUAUAGGAAGGGAAUAUGCUUCAUCUCUUUCAAUUUGUUAUCUGUUACGCAUGCAAAAACUAAAAUCAAGCAGCUUCUCAAUGUAUAAAAAAUUCCACAAGUUAUUGCUAUAUAUUUAUCGUAUUAAUUUUGACGUCGCCAAUUGAUUGGAGGCAAAGUCGUCUUAACAAAUAUUUUGAUAACAAAAAUGUGGUUUCAUCCCUAGCUAGGCCUUGUCUGCCUUCAUCAGGUAGGCCAAUAAGACAAUAAUAACUAAUGAUUUAUACGAUAGUGCGUAAUAGUAGAUGGAUAAAUAAUGAAGAAGCUUUUCAACUCAUCAACAAUAUGAAUGCAAGACAGAUUGAUCUCAUCAAACAGGAGUUUCAAAUCUUUAACAGAAUGGAAUUUACCAGUAUGUUGGAUCAGUAAUAUUUACAAGUUCCUAAGGACCAUUGUUCCAAAACCAAUGCCAAGAAAAGUUGCAAUGGCGAUUCCAAAAAUCCCCGCAAGGAUUCCUGGGACAACCAAAGAGCCCCAUCCUUUGGCUGUGGCCAUUCCACAUGCAGUAGUAGGGCCCCCAAUGUUGGCAUUUGAUGCCAGAAGUAAUAGCUUUAAAUCGAAACGAAGUAGCUUUCCAAGUCCAAGGAUCAUCACAAGAUGGACAGACACUUGAACAAGAGCAAACAAGAAAGUACUGGGUGCUGUGUUCAUAACAUUCCAUGUGCUCCCAUUAGCACCAACCACAGCAAAAAAUACCUGCCAAGAAGAAUACAGGUAAAAACCAUUCAGAUGGUUUUCACUUUCCAUUUUUUUUAUAAAAAAAAAAUCCCCCAGGGAAUUGUUAUGCAUAAAGUCACGCUACAAUUGCAUAAAGUUGAAGCAAAUCAACUAGAAAAUAUAAUUCAGACCUGUAUGAGAGCCAGAGCAAGUGUAUCACCAGCAGGUGCAAGAUUAGCAAACUGUGUUGGGAAUAGAGUUGCUAAAAUGACAAUAAUAGCUGUUACUCCAGGAAGGAUGCCCCCUUCAAUCUUGAACAAGUUUGUAAUAUAAGAUGCAGUCUUACAUAUCAAAAAGGAUAUAGCAAGAGCUGUAGCUGUCUGGAGCACAGGGAUUUUGCCUCCCGAAUCAGAAUCCAAAUUCAUUUCAACAUCUGCCAAAAACAGUAAAAGGUUCUCCUAAAGAUACUAACACCAAUACCAUGAUAAAAUCUAUCCAUAUUUAAUUUCAAUCUUGUACAAAAAUCAAUGCCAAGUUUGCAAUUAAUUACUUUUAAGGACACUCGAUAAACAGGAAAGAGAAUUAAUCUAAAUUUUGUUUUCUAGUGCAAAUGUAGCUGUCCAAAGCUGUUGUGCUGGAGCAGAGAAGUAAACAUGUGGUUAACCAUUCCAAGAGGGAACCAGGAGAAUUGGUGCAUGCUUCUAUCUAUAGUAGAAUAUCAUUAUAACAAGGAGUGAGGCUAUGUACCAUUGGUUGAUUUUGAAGCCUCAGGAUCUACUUUAGAGGCUAAUGCAAAUAAUAUCAUAAAGUAUAUUGCACAAAUAACAUUGUCCACAGCGACUCUGGCAGCCAAAACUGAUGGAGAAACACCAAGAGCCUCUGAAAUUGCAAUGUAGUUAACAGCUACAGUGUUCCAAAAGAAAAUGCUCAGUUAUGAGGCAUGCUUCAAACUGCAUUUUGAUGAAAGAGAAGCAUAUUUAAGGAAGGUAAUCAGCAGUCAAAGUAGACGUUAAAAUAGAUGAAUAAGAUGGCUUUUUAUUACACUGUUCCUGUAUUGAACAACCAUAAUUAUAUAAAAAAUGUACUAAUAAAAUUAAAUUUGUACCAUACCAUUGAAAACAAAAGACAGCAGCACUUCAAGAUAAGACAGUAAUAAGAUAUUAAAGUGCAGGACAGCAUUUUAUGCAUACGCUCCUAUUUGAACACAUUAUUUUGCACCAAACAUUUUUCAAAGUUCAGGGACAUUGAAGUUUCAGGCCAACCUUUUUAGUGUCAAAGAUAAGCUAAUAUAAGUUCAACAUUCAGGGAAACCAUUAUUAGGAUAUCAACAGUUUUAUAUGGUUUUAUCUGUAACUUUUUGAGCAAUACACACGCUUUAGACUUCAUUAAGUGUAUCGGUCUCUAUGUUGAUUCACAUGUCCAUACCAAUCAAUAGUUUAUAUCUUUAUCUUCAUUGCUUCUCCGUAAUUUCUCAGGCAACAAAAACUAGACUCAGAUAUUCUAAUCUUUAUUGCUUGCAAGUCCACAUGAAUAUAUGUGGGCAUAAAUAAGCCACAUUAAUGGGAGCUGUAUAAUUUGUCAAGUUGUCACAUUUCCUUGCAAUUGUAUAAAGAGCUCUAGGAAUAAGAAGCACAAACAUUUCCAGGCAACUUACAUCCACCAAUAUAACUACCCAUGAGAGCAGAAGCUAUUUUCCAAUUAUCUGGACCAAGUGAUCGCAUAGGCACCAUCAGAAAAGCCACUAGGGUUCCAACUAUUGUUGAAACUGUCAUCCAGAAGAAAAAACAAGGGUUACCAAGAAUCAUUUAAAAGUUAUAUGAACUAUUAAAUGAAAGAAAAAAUCCAGUGACCAUUAUUAUUCAUUCACAUAAUGAAUUGGGUAGAAUAGAGGCUACAAAUUUAAGGAUCUACAAUUCCCACCCACGGAUGAACAUGAAUGAAGCACAAGUCUCAAUGUAUCCUCAUUAGGCCAGUAUCCAAACUUCUAUAGCAGGAGUAAGUUACUAGUAAAAGGCUAGUACCUGUUUUUAGGCAGUGGAUUUCAAAGAAGCAGAGCCUUAACUAGUAAAGGGUAUUAACUACUUGAUACCUGCAAGUACAAGGCAAUGCUCACUGUUUUAGCAGUAAACUCAAUUGAAUUAAGAGGAGGAAAGCAUGUAAUUAUUAUAAUAUAGAGUAAAUCAUCAUCCUGUAAAUAUGGAAAUACACUGUUUGCUCUGUUGCCUAGUUAAAGUUUUUAGAAUAGAAGAUUAUUAAAAUGCCAAAGCUGAGGAGGAUUUUGAAUUACCAUAAUCCAUGCACUUUGCACUGUAAACAAUCCCCUUGCUGGCAUCAAUCAUUAUUAGGGUAACCAUAAUCAAAAGCUUUAAUAUUCAAUAACAUUCCUGGACAUCACUGAACAGGAACAAGUGGGAGGAUCAUCCUCGAAUAUCAUAAGUAAAAUAAUGGCAUUCUGAUCAAAAGAUGUGAAUAGUUAUAGGAAAUAUGGGAUCGUUAACAAGUCAUACUAACCUGAUCCAAGCAAGAAAGCGAGCAACAAUGUCCCAGUUGAGCGUAUGACGCGACGCGAAUCUGCUCUAAACAAGAGCAAAGGAACAGCCAAUGGUAGCAAAAACCCCAUGAAAAGAGAAUAAGCUGGUGCUUCAAAAGGAAUUAUGCCCAGAUUGCUUGCUGCCAGCCCCACCAAUGUGCUCACUAAUGCCGCACUCACCAUACUUCCAAUCUUUGUCUCCUCAGACCUUAACAAAUAUUCCAUUUUUUUUUUUUUUGCAUAAAUUACACUUAAUUUAACAAAUCCAUUAAGAAACUGAACUAAAAAUAAUCCCGAUAGGGUUAAGAGGAGAGGGAUAUUACCGGAGACCAAAAGCACCGAUAACGAACAGAGCAGUCCACGUGCCCCAGUGGUCAUCAGGAGAAAUAAUAGGGUAUGGGUAUCUAAGCUGUGAUCGAACCUCCACAUUACGGGUCUUUGGUAUUAACAAUGGUGAGAGAAGCGGUUUGUUUGAGCUUGUGUUUUGACAUGGGAGCGCGAGGUUUGGAACUCUUCGGGCUGUUGAAGCAGUUAGGAGGUCCUGGUGGAAAGAGAGAGGUGACAGGCGGAGCGACGGGGUUGGGGGUGACGUCAACGGGCAGAGGGAUAACGAUAAGGCGAAAGACGACAUUAAUGGUGGAGGGUUGACGCUCGUGUGCGCUACUCUCCCUGUCUUUCGGUUUUCUAAUUGAGAAGGAUCGUCCUUUCGCAGGACGAGGACGUGGCAUGAGCCCACACGGGGAUAGCUUCCGAAACAGACAAACAGUACAAUGAGUUUAACACUUUGAACUUACAGCUUCGUUAAAUCUUUCAGCGUCAAACGAUAAAGUAAAAUUCCGUUUUCCCAAUGCAAUUUUAAAGUCAUGAAGAACGGAAAUGAAAAACAAACCGACUGCGGACUGCCAGGCAACUAUUUCAUUCUUUCUUUGAUUCUUAUUAAUUUAACUGAUUUAUAAAGUAUCCUUGUAGGGAGUCAGAACAAUUUGCGACUGAAAAAUUUUCAGGUUUACAUUGGUUACAGAACAGAGCCAAUUCUGGCACUAGGAAUUGAAGGCUUUACAUGUAUUUCAGGACUGUUACUCCAAAGACAAUGCCUAGAAAAGUAGCAAUGGCUAUGCCGAAAAUGCCAGCAAGAAUACCAGGAACAACCAUAGAACUCCACCCUUUGGCCGUGGCCAUUCCACAUGCUGUUGUAGGGCCUCCAACGUUGGCAUUUGAUGCUAUAAGCAACAGCUUUAGGUCAAAGCGAAAUAGCUUCCCUAGUCCCAGAAUUAAUGCCAGAUGGAUGGCAAUCUGAACCAGAGCAAACAUGAAUAUACUGGGUGCUGUAUUGAUGACAUUCCAUAUGUUUCCACUUGCACCCACCACGGUGAAAAAUACCUGCAAAGGCCGAAAAAAAAAUAUCAUUUCCAUAAUUAUUCAUACACCCUCAACAGAUGCAAAUUUAGCAGAUAGGGUCAUAAUUAUGAUGACAGUUAAUAUUUGACAAGCCAUAUACAGUUAAGGAGAUCACUCAAAUAAAAUUGGAAAGAAAUUGAAACUGAUGGCUGCUUCCCAAUAAUGAUUAGUCACCUGCAUCAGAAUUAAAGCCAUAGCCUCCCCAGCUGGUGCAAGACGGCCAAACUGUGUAGGAAAUACAGUUGCCAGAAUAACAACAAUUGCUGUAACUGCUGGCAGGCUACCUCCUGGAAUGCCAAAAUAUUUUGUGAGAUAAGCGCCAAGUUUGCAGAUGCUGAAGGAUACUACAAGAGCUGUAGCUAUCUGUAGGACAGGAAGUUUGCUGCCAGAUUCAGACCCCUCAACCAUUGCAACAUCUGCUAAAGUCUCAACAACUUCAAUUAGAUUAUACAAUUUUUGAAACAUAACCACAUUAUCUACAGCAGUCUAUUUGAUGCAAAAUGUGAGGAAAAAAUGAGAAAAACCAAAAUGUAAAAUGUAGAAAAGAAACUUUAUGAAAUAGACCAUUAAUCUGGACAACCAAUCCAUUCAUAAUGAAGAUAAUGAAAUUAGUCAAUCAAAUGACAUAAAGUGAGGAGCUUGGUACACCUUCGGGUGACGUAGAGGUCUCAGGGGGUACUUUUGAUGCUAAUGCAAAUAGUGUUGUAAAAUAUACAGCACAGAUAACAUUGUCGGCAGCUAGUCCAGCGGCUAAAACAGAUGGAGAAACUCCAAGGGCGUUUGAAAUGGCAACAUAAUUGACAGCUGAACAACAUCAAAAUAACAUCAUCAGUGUUGACAGAAAAGUUUAUAGAAACAAUGAAACCAAUGGAAUAAGAUUACAAACAUCCAUUGCAAAGGUAGGAAGUGAAAAAAAUAAACUACCUCCGCCAAUAUGCCUACCCAUUAGGGCAGCGGCUAUCUUCCAACUAUCUUGACCAAGUGCUCUCAUCGGCACUAUCAGAUAUGCCAAUGCUGUUCCAACUGUUGUCGCCACUGUCUUGCAAGAUUUGGAAACCAAAUAUAAAAAAAACCACUUCCUAGAAAAGAAUGCAGGAAAACCAAAAGCAAAAGCUCGCAUUAAAGUCAUAAAUGGUUACGGACAUACCCUAACCCACAAUAAUGACCCGAAAACUCACCUAAAAAAGUAUGAUGACUAAUUACACUGAUGGUCAAUUCAAAUGGUCAUUAUGACGAUGGUGUGGCGGGGAAUUACCUGAUCCCAGCAAGAAAGCCAGGAGAAGUUUCCCUGUUGACUUAAUCACACGUCUCAAAUCUGCUCUAAACAACAACAAGGGAACAGCCAAUGGCAGCAAAAACUCCAAUACUGUUGAGUAGGCUUUAGCUCCACAAGAAAUUAUCCCCAAAUUACUAGCAGCAAGUCCAAUCAAAGUACUGACUAGCGCACCACUCAAUGCACUCCCAAUCUUUGUCUUCUCUGACCUUCAAGUUCAAUUAAGUACAUAAUCACCAACAAUAUCAACAACAAAUAAUUAUGAAGAAAGCAAGAAAAAAAACCAUUGCUUCCAGAAACCAAAAGAAAAUCGGGGAAGAAAGACAGAGAGAGUACCAGAUACCGAAGGCACCGGUGGCGAAGAGAGCAGUCCAGGUGCCCCAUUGGUCGUUGGGAGAAAUGAGAGGGAAGUUUAAUUGAGAUUUGACUGUUACGAGUCGGUUAGCAGUAGGGUUUUGGUGCAACCAAUGAGAAGAGAGAAAAGUUUGACUUCUGUAAAGAGAUAGCGAGCUUGAUGAAGACGACGAUGACGAUAAAGCGGAGUGUUGAGGAUAUGAAUUGAUUACGCGUGAGAUGGGAUGGAGAUUUUGGCGAAAAAGUCGAGAAUUUGAGGAUUGGAGCUCCGGCGAGUGAGGCGCCGCUCGAGUUAUGUGUAGAAAUGGAAGUUGUGACGCCAUUUUCGUUGAGUCCCCGGCGUCGGAGCCUCAGCAAUUAUUGGGGGAGAGAGAAAGAGAGAGUUGGCUGCUUGUUUUGGAAGUGGAGUUGACGAUGUUGAAAUUAGUUGUUGAGGAAUCUUUGUAAACCUUCUCUUUUGUCUUCUUGUUUUAAAACUUACUAGCGUGGAAGGAGAGUUGGUUGCUUGUUUGGCGGUGGAUUUGACGUUGCAAAAGCUAGUGAAGCAGUCACCGGACUUAGCAUUCAGUUCUCAGAUCUACUGUUCUUGUGGAAUCUAUAGAAACCGGUUUUUGCGUUUCUGUGAAAGAGAAAAAGCAUUAUUCCAAAGUAGAAGGAAAGAUUAAGAAAAUGCAAGAAUACAUCUGGAAUUUCAGCCAGAAACUAAGACUAGACAGGAGGAGCACGAGGAGGGUUAAAACGUGAUAAAAAAACUCCACUGUUUCACGUUACAUAUAAUCAAAAUUCAAGGCCUUUUGGUGGCAACUGAAAUGAACUGAGCAGAGCAGGUCAGGUCAGGUCAGGCCAUUAGAGAUGCAAUCGGUUAGAGUACCGCUAUUUUUUUUCCAAACCCAUAUCUAAAUUCUAUUAAAAUUUGUAUAAAAUUAUAAAAUACUAUCCAAAACAGCAUCUUAAUAAUAAAAAUUUAUCCGUUAAUUUUUUGAAUUCAUUAAAUACAUUUUAAGUUGAUAAAUUUGUCAAAAACUUGAGUAUUUCGUUCCCUCCUAUGAAUUCAAUCUCUAAUAAUAAAAUUUUACAUGUUUAAAUUUGUAUUAUAAUUCAGGUAAUAUAAAUUAAUAUUACAUUUAUUAAUUUACGAAAAGAUAAAUUGAUUGAGAUGAUAAAAAUUGUAAAUUUUUAUAACAUUAUAUAUAUUUGAAUUCGGGUUUAGAGAAUCUUAAAAGUAAUACUUGAAUCCAUGUCGAGUUUUGAAGACAUUUCCUUAAUCUACUUUGUUACUAAAUAUACGAUAUUCAUUCGAAUUUGUAUCUGAUUUUAAAAAUAUUACCUUAAUCUAUCUCACAAUCCAAUAUAAAAUACGCUAUUAUAUGUUAUCAAGUUACAUUAUGAGCUGAUCAAACCGAUUAUUUAGAUUCUGAACAAUUAUUGUCAAUUGUACCUCACAAUCAUACGGUAAUCAGAUUGGGGUCAAGAGUAUUGUGUAUGGCACGAUUCAGAUUCGUGUUUGAUAGCAUUUUUGGUAGUGGACUCAACGUUGCAAAAAAUAAUCAUUUCUCGUAAAGCAGAGAAUGUGCACACAUUGGGUAGUCCUCAAUUUUAAAGUUCCAGUGGAAUCUUUCCAAAUCUUUUCUUCUGAAUUUUUUAGCGAAAAAUGUGCAGACAGUAGGUAGUCAGUAAAUAAGUUCAUUGGUCGAGACUGGAUCAAAUUUGGGCUCAAACUUUGAGCAAGCCCUAACCAAAAAUUAUCUUAAAUCAGUAGCAUAUGCUGGAUGGAUGGUCAACUCCGUUGUUACAACUUACAAGAAAUGCUGUCAGCUUGCUUUCUGCUUCUUUGCACUACCUCUCUCUUCAUCCAAGGCCUUCAAUUUGUUCUUAAUCGCAGCAAUUUUGGCGCUGCGACUCAUCUGCCCUGAGGUGCUACCAGCAGUGCCACUUUUGAUUGCCUCACCUCCAGCUUUGGAAGAAUUGUGUGCUGCUUCCUCCAAGUAUUUCUCGCUAGCUAGACGGACCACCAAAGGGCGACCACAAGCUAGUCUCCCAUGCAUCUUCUCCUUGGCCAAUUUAGCCUCCUGCAUACUCACUUUAAAUGUGGAAAUCAGGAAUUGCCUGAAAACAAAGAGAAUGCGUAAGCGUACAACUUACCUCUUUCAUGCUGUACUGGAUAAAGGCAAACCCUCGUGGUUCUCCACGUUUUGGGCCACGAGUGUGCCACAAGAAGUCCUCAGAUAUAAUCUUCCCAUAUGGAGAAAACAUCUUAAUAAGGGCACCUCUGGAAAAGAAUAGUACAAUAUUAGUUUCCACAGAUGUAUUGAAAUAAAAGCUUCAGUUUCAAAUAAUUAUAUUUAUACUCACUCGGUUAUUCUUAGAUCAAGGUUACCAAUGUAUAGUCUGCUCUCACUCUUCUCAUCUAUGAAACUCCUAGGAUCCUGCAGUCAGCCGUCAGCCAAUUCAAAAUCAUGAAUAGGUCCUAAUAAUGCACCUAUCUUAUUGUAAAAUCAUCCCAUGCUAAGCUUCUUCAAACAUAAAGUGCUCCAACAAGUUCAAAACAUCUAAAAUCAAGACAAUAGAAACACAUUUUGGGCACAAAAGCACAACCGACAAGCAAUCACAAUAUGGGACUUAAAAUUUUACAUAUUGCAAUAUCAUAUAGAAAAAUGGAAGAAAAUAUUAACUCGAUUAAGCUACAUGAUGGCAAUCCCUUUGGGAAAUGCAGAAUGCAUUUUUUACCCUGAUGGAGCACAUGGUCCCUUGAGAUUUAAGAAACAAGAUCCUUUUUGUAGUGUGUUUCACACAAUAUAACAGAACUGAAAUUUCAUUUUUAAAACAGCCAAGGAACAAGCAAAAGUAAGAUCUGAACCAGCAAAAUAGUGGCAAACUAUUUAGUGGUAGGAUCUAGAGACCGACAUUCUAUAGUUCAAAAGUAGGAUGGAAUACAAUGUAGUAGCGAGAAUUUCAAAAUGCAUUUCAACUCCAAUAUAUAUUAAUUAAUUUAAAAAACUUCACAUGUAAAUCAAAGAUUUGUAUAGUGAAUUUACCAUAAAAUGAAUAGGAUAUUUAUGACAAUUUUCGUGGCAGGUGCAAGCACGAAACACUUUCAGAAAUUCAAAACAUCCACAGUUUGCAUCCUCCUGCAAAUUCUAAACGGACAAAAAUUCAAAUUAACAAGAACCAUUCUUCAUAAUUCCUUUGCUGUAGAUUAAAAGAAAACACCAAAUGCAUCAUACUAUUCAGAAUUUCAUGUUAUGUACAAACACAGACAGAAACUUAUAUGAAAAACUGCAAUAUAUAAAAAUGCAUUGAGUUGGACAUAGCCGUCAAAGGCCUAAGCCCCAGCCCUUGGCAACCUUGCCUACAAGUACUUCUGUAAGCAAAUUAACCAGUAGAUUACAAAAAAUUAAAAAGCUUCAAGAUUAUGCUAACAGAUCCCCAGAUCAAGAAAAGCCAAUAACUAGUUGUGUAAUAUAUCUCUACACACCAGAGAAAAUGAAGCUAAUCAUAUGAAUCAUCAAAAAAUAUCAGAAGAAACUUGAUUCAAAUAGCAACUAAAACAAUUAAAACAAGGGGGAGAAAAUCAUCAGGUAGGCUUAAGAAACAUUCAAAGAUGAAAAAAACAAUGUAAUCCAGAAAGUAAUAUUGUUCAACAGUACUUCUGAUAAUUUCAGAAGCAUAAAACAUUUUUACCUCGCUUUGUCAACAACCUGUCUUUCGAAUGAUCAGGUUUCAUUCCAAAACUUUCCUCCAUCUAGAGUUGCCGAUAGAAUGAAUACAAAGAAGAUAAGAAAUUGACAGAAAAACUAGGGUCCUAACUACACCUUUAAACAGACGAAAACAGAUUUCAUUUUUCUUUUAAUUCGGACUGAACUUAUCUACUUACCAGAAACCUCCUAAUACCCUGUACAUAAAUAACCAAGGACAGCAAAAAACCUCUAAUUUUUCUUCGUCUUUUUCAAACAGAAAUUUCAUUAUCCGCAUAGGAUUAAAACCACUUGAAAUUCCAUUGUCUACGUAAAGUACAAAGUAUAACAUUCAGAAAUUUCCAGGAAAGAACCUGUAUAAAUAUUAAAGUAAUAAAAAUUUUCUAACCAGAAAAUGAAAGAAAAACCCUAACUACCUUUGUUUAGGAGGGUCGAAACAGGGAAUUUCAUCGGUGAAAAAAGAAAAUGAAAAACAAUAAUGGAUGAUUAUUCGAAUAACUUACGGGGAUGAAACUUCGCGUUGAGACUUGAGAGAGAGAGAUCUUUCUAAUACUGAGAAGGAGUAGCAACUUCCCCAAUUGGCGGCCCUUUGGGAUUCCAAGUUUUACAGAUUCACCGUACUAGCCUCCCAAUGGCCAAGGGAAAAAGGUAAAAUAUUAAAGAAAGCCAUCCGCCUUAGAGCGACACCGUGUAUAUCCAAGCCAAGCAGGUCAUUUGCAUGAGAAACGACGUCGUAAAAACUGACAUCUAAGAAGUUUUUAGGUUGGGUUUGGUCGGCUGAGUAGACAGAAAUAGAACAUAAUAAUUAUUAUGUGAUAAUAUAAUGAGAUAAAAAUAAAAUAAAAUAACUAUUAGUUAAUUUGGUAUGAUAAAAAGAUAAAGACAUAAAUAAUUAUUAUAAUUUAUUAUAGUGUUUGGUUGAUAAUAAUAAUUUUGAAAUAAGAAAAUAAUAAAAAAUAAAAAGAUAAAAAUAUAAUUUAUUAUAUAUAUGAUUAUUUAAUUUUAUUAGAUUUUUAAAUAUUAAUAAUUUAGAAUUAAUUUAAUAUAUUAAUAGUUGAUCAUUUAAAUAUUAAAUAUUAAAUAUUUUAUUUAUAAUUUAAAUAUUAUUAUGAUUAAAAUAUUGAUAAUUGUUUAAUUAAUUUUGUAAUUUUAAAAUAUUAUUUUUAUAAUAUAAAUUAAAUUUUUAUUAUUAUUUUAAUUUUUAAAUAACAAUAAUUGAUAAUUUAUAUAUUAAUACUUUAUGUAUAAUUUAAAUGUUAUUAUGAUUAAAAUAUUGAUAUUUUCAAUUUAUUUUUAAAUUUUAAAUAUUAUUUUUUACAAUAUAUAAUUAAAAAUUAGAGAAAAAGAGAAAGGCAGGGAAUGAAGGGAGAAUGGGAGGAGGGAGAAAAAAAAAAUAAUGUUUUUUAUAUAGGUAAGGUUGUAAUUUUACAAACUUGUAAAGGGUAUUAGUUUUUAUCAUUUUUUAAGACUAUUUCUCGAUUAUGAAAAUAGAUAAUAUUUUGGGGGGGUUGAUNUUAUUUAUUUUAUUAAUUUAUUUGUUUUUAAAUAUGAAUAAUUUAUAAUUUAUUUUAUUAAUAAUUGAUAAUUUAAAUAUUAAUAUUUUAUUAAAAAUUUGAAUCAAGAGAGAGGAGGAGGAGAGAGGAAAAAAAUAAUAUUUUAUACAAAUAAAGUUAUAAUUUUUCAAACUUGUAAGGGAUAUUUUUAUCUUUAUAAUUUUUUGAAUUUAUUCCUAAAUUAUGGAAUAGCUAAUACCAUAGGGGAGGAUGGUAUUAGCUAUUCCUUAGUUUUAGAGGAUUUUGGAAAAUAGCCAUUCUUAUGGAAUGACUAUUCUUUGGAUUAUUUCUCAACCAAAUAAAUGAACCAAAAUUCCUUAAAAAUAAAGUCAUCCCUCAAACCAAACAUGCUAUUAUUCUUUAACGAAGAACAGCUAUGCUUUUUUAUAUAUGAUUUUUUUUCUCUAUUUUAGCAUAAUUGAGUUCGAAGGUGGCAUGUUGAUUGGAAAAUACAAGAUCCAGUCCUAAAAUAUUUAAGACUUUGGGAUGUUGUUAAAUGAGUUUACAAUGGACUUAUUUUAAUUUAACCAAUUUUACUAUUACGGAUUUGAAAUUGAAAGUUUGAAUAAAUUAAGAUGAAAAUAUUCUUAUGAGUAACAAUAUAUUGUUAAUUUUAAAAGUUUUAUAAAGGAAACAUAUUUGUGUUGUUAUAUUAUAAUCAAUGAAUUUAUUAAUUCAAAUAUUGAUAACUUAAUAGAUAUAACUAAAUAAUUUUUAGGUUACAAAUAUAACUUUUGAGAAACUCUUAAGGAAAUAAUUUAAAAAAAUUAAAAAAAUCUUUAAAAAAUUCUAAAAAAAACUAUAUUUUAUCCUUUUUUUAAAACACAAUAAAUUUUUAGAAAAUAUCUAUCUAUCAAUCAAUCAAUCUCUUUUUCCUCUCCUCCUUUAUGCAAAUUACCAUUCUCUAACGCAAAUCACGAUCUAUCUCAUCUAUUUAUCGUUACAAAAAUUAUUAAAAUAAUAAAAAAUUCAGUAACAAAAGAACAAAAUCUAUAAUUUUUUUAUUUUUUUUAAGAAUAAGAAAAAAAUUUAAAAUUUAAAAUUAUAUUUAGAUGCUAUUUAAAAAUUUUCUCUCUUAUUCACUAAAAAAAAAUUUUAAUGUCAAAUAUAUCGUUUCUUUUUUCUCUUUUUUUUUUUUGAAAUUGAAUAUAUUAAUAAAAAUCUAAUAAAUUUGUUCUGUUUCUUAAAUUGUAUAUAAACUUAAAGCAGACUUAUUUCGUUAUAAUUUAUUAGGUGAUUGAAAAUGAUAUAAAUACCGUUUAUGGUAAUUUUAACUGAAAUUAAAAUUUAUAUAAUUUAUUUGGUUAAACAAUUUAUGUUUUAAUUUAAUUUUAAAAUUUAUUUUUUAUAAAAAAUUUAUAAUAACUUUUAAACUAAAAAAGAUAAUCUAAAUAGGCUCUUAAUCCACAUUAAUGUGAAAAGUAUUCUUUAACAUAAUCAGAUUAUUAAAGCUAUUCAAAACCUUAAACCGCUUGAUUGGUUAGGUGUUGCGAAAACAAAUUGCAAACUUCAGAGCAUCACGAACCAACAGUAGAGAGUGGAGAAACGUUCGCAAAAAGAGUCAUAUUUGUCGGCAAUCAUAAUUAGUAAGCCUGAAUAGUACGAUGCGUCAGAUUCACGCACUACCUAUGCCUUGUACACACAGUUCAUAUAAACACUCUUUAAUUCAAUGAUUGAGGUUGACAACGUUGUUUUAAUGUUCUGUUAAGGGCAAAUUUCAUGAUAUGUUUUGCACAAAGCCUUGGUAGGCAAGGGAAAAAGUGAUCUUUCCACCAACCAACUCAAAAUUUCAACGAUUUUGGCCCACCACCACCAUUCUUGCAAUGUCUACCUGCAUUUUCAUACAAUGAAUGAGCGAUGCUGGAUUCUCGCUAGCUGCAAGGCAGUAGUAGUUAGAUUAGGACAUCUGGAGGCGUGAAGAGAAUAAAAUCCGAGGUUAUUAUAUUGUUAAAAGCAGAGCAUGAUUGUUUAGGAGGAUCAAAAUCGCUAUCUUGGAGUUUUUUAGUUGAUGCCACCCGGCAACCCUGGGUACCGUAGCUUAGGUGUCCAUAAACGCUUUUAAGGAUGUCGUUGGAAAAAGUUACCUUGGCUUAGCAUUUAUCGCUGUCCUGGCAAGCACACAACUGCUCUCCAAGUGACGACCUCUUUUCGUGUUAAAGCGAUCGAUGUCGACUACCUCCAUUUGUUAUUUGCCAGCUGUUUUUACUGAUUUUUUUUUAUCAAUCACUUAUAAUUAAUAUUAAAUAUCUAAUUCAUUAAUUAAUGUAUAUUUUUUAUUUUUAAAUAUAAAAUUCGAAUUCUAUUUUUUAAAUUCUAAACUAAUAAUUUACAACUGAUAAAACCCAUAUUUUUAGUUUUAGAAGAAUGAGUAUUUGAGUUAAGUCGGAGUAUUAUAUUAAACAGAGUUCUACAGUCUAUUAUAGGUUAGAACAAUACGAAAGAUCAAACUUUAUGACCUGAGAGACUCCCCUAACCAAGUAUGACACUUCCACCAAGCAAGCAACCAUCCAAGUAUAAAUGCUACGUAUUCAUAUUUAUUUUUCUUUGGAAAGAUUUGCCAACAAACUUAAACAUUGGAUCAAUGCGGUCAGCCAACCAACCGUCAGUACAAAUUUUAUUUUUAAAGUUGACAUGAUACAUAGCCGAUUAUUCAAACCAGGUUUACCGUCUAGGAAGAGUGAAAGAGAGAAGGCUUGUCCCUUUCUCCCACGUCUGUUGGAUACCUCAAGUUAUGUACAAAACUAGAAAGGAUACAACAACAACGCUUAUAAAACUUCUUCCCAAAACUGGACAGCUGUUCUCAAAAGACAAUAAUGCUGAAUCUGCAAAGCUUAGCAGCAGGUGCCAUAGUUGGUUCUAAUGCCAGUGAGUAAAAACAAAAUACAGUAUUAAAUGUGCAUGUCUGGGAAACUCAUCCUCGUGAUUUUGAAAAAACGACAAAGGGAAAUGGGCAACACCGUCUCUUUUCUCGUCCAUUUUAAAGUUCAAGGAGUCUAGAUUGAAUUAAUACUAUAAAUUUCUAGGCAUGUGAUGCAUAAAUGCAAAAACGAAAACGGAAACACACGCAGCCCUACUGAAAUGUAACUGUGCUGCCAAAUGUCAGGAAAGAGUUAAAUAAUCUGUAAUGCAGCCAUUACUACAUUGAAGAAAAGGUCAGUUAAAAAGGUAAAAUGAUUUUGGAUAUUCUCCGAUACUUGAAGCAAAAACUUAAUUGGUAAAUUGUAUGUAUACCAAAAUUUGAAUGUGUAUGGAAAGGGAGAAAAUUGAUUUUGUUCAUGUAAAUCCAAAAAGAAGAAAUAAAAAAAGAAGAAGGGAAGUUAAACUUGAUAAAAUGAGAGUUUUUUCUUGUGAAUGCCUCCAGGGAGUGAAAUCAGCAAGAAUACAGUGGAGAGGGAGUAAAAGUCAAUUUAUUUGGCUUCUACAUGUUUCUGCCCUUGGUUCUUGGCAUGAACUGAAGGAUUUGGGUGGUGAUUUGCCCAUGCUCCACUGGACCAUAGUAGGAAAAAAGCCAUGGUUUCUCCUAUUUGUUAUCCAGCACUGCAACAAGAGCACUUUGCACGAAUGUGAACGGUCCAAAAAAUUGCUUUGAAUAUUCCGGAAAAUCCAUCAACUUCAAUAGCCAAGCCUAGUGUCUCCCACACUUCUCAAAACUUCCAACUCAAAACUCUAGUGACCCAGCUUCUUCAAAAGCAGUCUUUCUUCUUCACCACUUUACCAUUAUAUAUUCCAAUGUCUUAUAUUUUCUCUCUUUCUCUUGAAGAACCCAAAAGAAAUCAUUUUAACCCACCUUCCAUGGAUGCCAAAAGGAUUUUACUUUUCUCUCUAACUUUCCUUUCACUCCUUUAUUUCUCUGCAUCUUUCCUUCCCACAAACAAUUUUCUCGUCAACUGUGGAUCAAACGCCAACACGUCAUUCUAUAACCGCAUCUUUCUAGCUGAUUCAGCCAAACCAGGUUCACUUUUCCUCUCAGCAGAGCGAUCUGUUUCACUCACUGACCGAAGCCCAUCUCCAAAUACACCCAUUUUGUACCAUACGGCCCGAGUUUUCACCACGGACUCAAGCUAUAAGUUCAACAUCAAGAAAAAUGGGACAGGGAUUCACUUGGUACGUCUCCAUUUUUCCCCAUUUCAAGCUCAAAAUUUUAACUUAGCAUCUGCCAAAUUCAAUGUCGUGGCUAAUGGCUUCUUGUUAUUGAGUGGUUUUAGUGCUAACAGUGUGCUGCUUAAAGAGUAUUUAUUGGAAAUAGAUGGCAACGUUCUUGAAAUUAUGUUUAGUCCUGUGGGUGAUUCUGGUUUUGCAUUUGUUAAUGGAAUUGAGGUAUUUUCAGUUCCUAAAGACUUUAUAAUUGAUGAUGGAGCUAGGUCGGUUAUUGCUAACGGAAUUGAAGAGUACAAGAACUUAACAUCACGGGUUUUAGAGACUGUUCAUAGGAUUAAUGUUGGCGGUUCAAAAUUGACACCUUUUAAUGAUACUUUGUGGAGAACCUGGAUCCCUGACGAUGGCUUUCUUGUGUUUAAACCUGCUGCAAAACGAGCAGUCAGCACUCAUUUACCAAAUUAUCAGAGUGGUGGUGCAACCCGUGAAAUUGCACCAGACAAUGUUUAUAUGUCAGCACAGCAGAUGAACAGGGAUAAUUCAUCAUUGAAUGGUAGAUUCAAUAUCACUUGGGAUUUUCCAGUAGGUUCACAAGGUGCUCCACACUUAGUUAGGUUGCAUUUUUGUGAUAUUGUCAGUCCUGCACUUAAUCAGCUAUACUUUGAUGUAUAUAUCAACAAUUACUCUGCUUAUCGGGAUCUGGAUUUGUCGAUGCUUACAUACCAUGUGCUUUCAUCUCCAGUCUACAUAGAUUUUGUUGCGGAUUCGGAUGAUUCAGGGGUUAUACGAAUAAGUGUUGGACCUUCAGAUUUGAGCACUCCUUCGAAAAUUAAUGCUAUUCUAAAUGGGGUGGAGAUCAUGAGGUUGGUAAAUCUUAAAGGUUCACAUGUUGGGUCUAAUAAGAAAAACGUUUGGAUUUUGGUGGGUUCUAUUGUUGGAGGCAUUGUUAUCUUUUGUUUGGCUGCAGUUGCAAUUGUGCUUGCAUUUAAAUGCAAGAAGAAGAAACCAAAACCACCAAGACGUGCAGAAAGUGCUGGCUGGACACCGCUACGUGUAUAUGGGGGCAGUUCAUAUAGUAGAAUGUCUGAAGGGACUGUUACUACAUCUCCUGGCCCUAAUGGAUAUCACAGCUUGAGAAUUCCUUUUGUUGACAUACAAACGGCAACUAACAAUUUUGACAAGAGUUUGAUUAUUGGAAUGGGUGGAUUUGGUAUGGUUUACAAAGGGGUCCUUAGAGACAAUACUAAGGUUGCUGUAAAGAGAGGUGUCCCUGGGUCAAGGCAGGGCCUCCCAGAAUUCCAGACUGAGAUAACUGUUUUGUCAAAGAUUCGUCACCGACAUCUUGUUUCACUUGUUGGAUAUUGUGAAGAACAGUCAGAAAUGAUACUGGUCUAUGAGUACAUGGAAAAAGGGCCAUUGAAGAAUCAUUUAUAUUGUUCAAAACAUCCUCCUUUGUCAUGGAAGCAAAGGCUUGAAAUAUGCAUUGGCUCAGCAAGAGGUCUUCACUACCUCCAUACUGGUUCAGCACAAGGUAUCAUUCAUCGUGACAUUAAAUCUACCAAUAUAUUGCUUGAUGAAAAUUUUGUGGCCAAGGUUGCUGACUUUGGUCUCUCGAGAUCUGGCCCAUGUCUCAAUGAAACCCAUGUAAGUACUGGGGUGAAGGGUAGCUUUGGGUAUCUUGAUCCUGAGUAUUUCCGGAGACAGCAGCUUACUGAUAAAUCAGAUGUUUAUUCAUUUGGGGUUGUGCUUUUUGAGGUACUUUGUGCUAGGCCCGCUGUUGAUCCAUUGCUUACUAGGGAGCAGGUGAACUUAGCAGAAUGGGCUAUGCAGUGGCAGAAAAAAGGCAUGCUUGGGAAAAUAAUUGAUCCGCACCUUGUGGGACAAAUAAAGCCUUGCUGUUUGAAGAAAUAUGGAGAAACAGCUGAGAAAUGUUUGGCUGAGUAUGGUGUUGAUAGGCCAACUAUGGGUGAUGUCUUAUGGAAUUUGGAGUAUGCACUUCAGCUUCAAGAAUCAGGGCCAGAAGAACCACGGGAAGGCAGCAACAUGAAUGGAAUGGAUUGUCCAACAACUAGUAUUACUCCAUCUAGCAAUGCCAGGACAGAGAAAGAUGACGGUAGUGUUAGUUCAGACAUAACAACAAGCCAAGUGUUUUCGCAAUUGAUGACAAAAGAAGGCAGAUAGUUUAAACAGUCAAUCCUGCAUAGACACAAUCAAGGUCACUUCUCAUUCUCAAAAAUUUCUACUAGAAUAUAUACAUAUUGGAAGUUUUAAUUGAAGUUUAACCUUCUUUCUUUCCUUCAAUAUUUUCUUGUAUUGUAUCAAAGCUGCAUCUUAGCUGUACGGUUAUUAUCAUUCUUAUGUAGUAAAAGUAAUGGGUUUAAAAUAGUUUUUCUUUUCAGUUCCUUUCAAAUUGUUGUAUAUUCAGGAUAUAGAUAACUGUUGUGAUCCUAAAGAAAAUGUAAAUUUCUCUCCUCUCCUUGCUUUUGUUGGUUGAGUUGUUAAGUUGAAGCAUAAUUAUGUUGAUGUUGGAAAUGGAUACUUGCAUGGAAUUCACAGCAGUAGUCAGUACUGGUUAAGUGUAUAAUUGUUUGAACUUUUUCGUCCUGGAAUUUGAAUCAAAACCAGCAUUAGGUUACUAAAAGUGAAAAAUUAACUGAGAAAAAUAAGUUUUGAAAGCCUGUCUAGUAUUUAUAUAGAUACAUUCAGAUCAUUUGGUGACAAACUAAGGCAACACCUCAAUAUAAUGUUUUCUUGCCCAUGUGGACAAACUAAGGCAACACCUCAAUAUAAUGUUUUCUUGCCCAUGUGACUUCCAUGUGCCCUAUUUCAUGAUAAAUCCAAGUCCUGCAAGAAAUUCAUAAUGCUUGCUUAGGAUAAUUGUUGCCACCUCUUGUGAUACCGAUCAACUGUUUAGGAUAGAGCGUGAACAUGAAUUUUGUAUCUUUCUCUUAUCUGCUGGGGGCCUGGGGCCUAUUACUGAAGUUGUCAGCAAAAGUUUAGCUAUGUAGAGACUUCCUCUGGCUGAUCUCAACUGUGAAGUCAAGACACAUACCACUAGGCAACUGGCUUUAAUUACAUCAUUGUCACCUAGGGAAACCUUUGGCAUCAUGUACCGAAACAAAGCACAUGCCAAUGGAAAUUACGUUUUCGUUUUCUUUAUGUUUUCAGUUUCCUUUUAUAAGAAAAAAAAAUAGGGGUUUCAAUUCAACUUCAAUGUUUUGAGUUCUGAACUAUUGAUUUCUAAUUUGAGCUCUAAACUUCAUUUAUCUGUCAAGUUAUGCCUUAUUUAUCAUCAUGCUGUUAUUUUAUUUCAACCUUGAAAUGGUCAGCGCAUGCUACUACAAUAAUAAAGUUAUGUAAUGAUCUUUAUGGUUCUUUGAUUUUUGCCAUAUAAAGUAAGAUGAACGGGAAUUUCGACACGAAUUGGGUGGCAGACAAGUUUAAGGUUCUUAGAGCAGAGGUUUUGUUUGGUUUAAUUGAAUCUAUGUGUGCGUGCACGCACGUUUAUGUAUGAAGAGACCCUAAGAUCACUGUUCUCAGAGAGGAAGCUCACUGUGAAAUGGUUUGAUAUGAAUGGCAACAAUCUCAAUCUGUAGCAUUCUUGUUCUACUAGGACUUUUUAACGUUCCUUAAUUUUCAGAGUACCAAUCAACUGCACAGGGCCCAUGGGCCCUAGUCCAACUGUACCUACAUUCUCUGAAGCAAAUCCACUCUGGAUGGAGCAGGAAGGUAGGCCAGCCUUGAGCCUUGCCAGUGCUAGUCCCCACCAUUUUUUUGUUCUUGCUAAAGUAGUCCCCGCUUGGACUAGGCGCAACUUCAUGCCUUAAUAAUUCUCAAUAUAAUUAACUUUAUCUACUUUUGGUUUAAAAAAUUAUUUUGUAGCUUUGGCCCACUUCCAGGUUCCAAUUUACAAAGGCACAUGCAUUCGCCCUUUUCCCUUCUUAGUAUUAGUAUUUUUUUU